UACGUAGGGGGCAAGCGUUGUCCGGAAUCAUUGGGCGUAAAGGGUGCGUAGGCGGCGCGGUAAGUCGGGUGUGAAAUCUCGGAGCUUAACUCCGAAACUGCAUUCGAUACUGCCGUGCUUGAGGACUGGAGAGGAGACUGGAAUUUACGGUGUAGCGGUGAAAUGCGUAGAUAUCGGGAGGAACACCUGUGGCGAAAGCGGCUCACUGGACCACAACUGACGCUGAGGCGCGAAAGCUAGGGGAGCAAACAGG
rnacentral:rRNA from 1 species